AGCGGCGGACGGGUGAGUAACGCGUGGGUAACCUGCCUCAUACAGGGGGAUAACAGUUGGAAACGGCUGCUAAUACCGCAUAAGCGCACAGUACCGCAUGGUACCGUGUGAAAAACUCCGGUGGUAUGAGAUGGACCCGCGUCUGAUUGGCUAGUUGGUGGGGUAACGGCCUACCAAGGCGACGAUCAGUAGCCGACCUGAGAGGGUGACCGGCCACAUUGGGACUGAGACACGGCCCAA
rnacentral:rRNA from 1 species